CAAGUAUCUUGUUGGCCUGCCCUUUGCUCUCUGAUGGAAUUCAACAAAAUCAUCUCCAAGUGAUGUAGUUUAAAGAUGACUUUACAACCACCUGUGUUCCAGAAGUGGGACAUGACUCUGUCCGUAUCUGGAAAUUGAAGCCUCUCCCAUCUGUCACCCUGAAAUGCUGGUGAGAUUGACUUCAAGGAACACAGUCAACGUUUGUUUUUGGAGACUGCAGGG
rnacentral:lncRNA from 1 species